rnacentral:lncRNA from 1 species
UAUUUUCAGUUUUUUAAUCAUUUUUAAGAGUGAAAUAACUUAAUUACCCUCACAUGUUGUGCACAUGGUCUCACUUAACGGAAAUAUGGAUGGAAUAUAUGAAAAACUAACGGUAGGGGGCAAAUUGGCUAAAAAAAUUAGUUUGAGUCCUUAAUUUUUCAAUGGAAAAGUUCAGGGGGGAAAUCAAAAGUGAGGUGAAAGUUCAGGGGGUAAACCGACAGUUUACUCAAAAACAAAAAUAAGAGAAAGACGAAAACUUCCAAAUCAGAGUACUAAAAUAUAAACAUGCAUGGUCGUCAACGACGUAAACACUCUAACCAACAUUUCGGCAAGCACCAGAGCCAAUAGAAGCAAUCGUUUCCAGCAAAAUAUCGAAAAGAACAGAGAACUACCCUAUGAAAAAUAAUGUAAACAACUAAAAGAAAGUUAUCAUUUAGAUGCUGAAUCAGUACAAUGAUAAUGUACAUGGCCUUCAUUGUCUUUUUCCUCUAUAAAACUCCAUUUUUCAGUAGCCUGAUACAUACGAUAAGCAUUACGUAAGGGUGCAUGUGAUGGCAGUUUUUUUACUAAAAUAAAGUGACCGACCUGAGGAUGACGAGCAUGACAAUGAAUUGUUGAGAUUAUUUUAUCUCAUAUCGGAAAAAUUAGAGACUUUGCAUGUACUUAUAAGUAAUUGAGUUACUUUUUAUAUUCUCAAUUUAUUUUAUCAUAGAAUAUCAACUUUCUUCGUGGUAUUAACGUAAGUUGUUCCACAUGUGAAGUCCAACAACAACAUAUGCUCCAUGCCAUGCGAUUUGUAUUGUGAAAAUGCUAAGCUUGAAAAAUUGCCACGCAACAUGAGAAGGCGUGUUAAGAGUAUCAAUCACAUCGGAAAUAUAAGAGACCUUAUUAUGUAUGCUUAUAAAUAAUUGAACAAUUCUUAAUAUUAUUAAUUAAUUUUAAUCAAAUAUGUUGUAAGGGAGGUCAUAAUGUCCCAUCAAACUUCAUCUUUCUUAAAAAGUUAAAUCAAAUAUAUAUGUUGUGAGAGAGGACAAUGUAGGCCUG